GUUUGAGACCAGCUUGGGCAAUGGAGUGAGACCCCCAUUCUGAAAAAAAAAAAUCAAAAAAUUUAACAGGCAUGGUGGCAUGUGCCUGCAGUCCCAGCUACUCAGGAGGCUGAGGUGGGAGGAUCGCUUGAACUCAGGAGUUGAAGGCUGCAGUGGGUGAGGAUCACAACACUGAAUUCCAGCUGAGGUGACAGAAUGAGACCCUGUCUCUCUAAAAAACAAGCAAGCAAACAAACCAAAAACCACAAACAAACCAGACCCCUCUUAGCAGAAUACUUCCAUGAGGUAAUAAAAGAAAGAAGAAAGUGAAACGAACAAACAAUUUUACUCAAGAAACUAGUGAGAAAUCAAAGAAAUGUCCAAGAAGUAGGAUACAAGAAUUAAUCAAAACAGAUUAACAGUGGAAUAAAUAAAUGAAUCCAACUGGUUCUUUGUAAUGGAAUGUGGAAAGACAUACUCUAUUCUUCUGGAUAGGAAGAUGAAAUAUCAUAAUCAUAUCAAUGCAAGUUUUAUGCAUGCUCAAACAUGUAUAAACUAAGAAAAAAUCUGAAAGGACAGACAGCAAAAUGUUUGCAGUUUUUUUCCUCCAAGUGGUAAGAUUAAAGAACACAGACAAAAAUAGAAACUCCUCACAUGACCCACCACGAAGCCCAUCAGAUGGCAGAAUGCAGAAUCAGGUUGCAGUGGACUGAUCUUAAAACAGAUGAAGCAGUGGAGAAAAUCUUCCUGGAGCUGAUGGUAUAAUUUGCUUCUUGAAACAAUGACAGUCCAUGAAAUAAGGUGGGGAAGAUGUUUUGAACCUCUCUCAGCAGCAGAUCCCUAAAUCACAGACCCAGAACUUGGAGGAAACAGGAAACAGGAGGCCAUCUCUGCACCUCUCCAG
rnacentral:lncRNA from 1 species